GACAGAGGAUGCAAGCGUUAUCCGGAAUGAUUGGGCGUAAAGCGUCUGUAGGUGGCUUUUCAAGUCCGCCGUCAAAUCCCAGGGCUCAACCCUGGACAGGCGGUGGAAACUACCAAGCUGGAGUACGGUAGGGGCAGAGGGAAUUUCCGGUGUAGCGGUGAAAUGCGUAGAUAUCGGAAGGAACACCUGUGGCGAAAGCGGCUCACUGGACCACAACUGACGCUGAGGCACGAAAGCUAGGGGAGCAAACAGG
rnacentral:rRNA from 1 species